rnacentral:rRNA from 1 species
UGAAUACGAGACGCUAAGGCGUCGAAGUAGUGUAUGCCAUACUUCCAAGAAAAGCUUGCACUGUCAUAGAUAAAAAACGCCUGUACCAUAACCGACACAGGUGGGUAGGUAGAGUAUACUAAGGGGCGCGAGAUAACUCUCUCUAAGGAACUCGGCAAAAUAACUCCGUAACUUCGGGAGAAGGAGUGCCUUAUUCGUAAGGUUGCAAUAACAAGAUCCAAGCAACUGUUUAUCAAAAACACAGGUCUCCGCUAAGUCGUAAGACGAUGUAUGGGGGCUGACGCCUGCCCAGUGCCAGAAGGUUAAAGAAGUUGGUUAGCAAUUGCGAAGCUGAUAACUGAAGCCCUGGUGAACGGCGGCCGUAACGAUAACGGUCCUAAGGUAGCGAAAUUCCUUGUCGGGUAAGUUCCGACCCGCACGAAAGGCGUAAUGAUUUGGAUACUGUCUCGGAGAGGGGCUCGGUGAAAUAGACUUGUCUGUGAAGAUGCGGACUACCUGCACCAGGACAGAAAGACCCUAUGAAGCUUUACUGUAACUUGAAAUUGAAAUUGGACUUUAUUCGCGCAGUAUAGGUGGGAGGCGUUGAUUAUAAUCUUGUGGGAUUAUUGGAGCCAUCAGUGAGAUACCACUCUUGUAAUGUUAGAUUUCUAACUUUGAAUCAUUAUCUGGUCAAAGAACAGUUUCAGGCGGGCAGUUUGACUGGGGCGGUCGCCUCCUAAACGGUAACGGAGGCGUACAAAGGUUUCCUCUGAACGGUUAGAAAUCGUAUCUAGAGUGUAAAGGCAUAAGGAAGCUUGACUGUGAGACCUACAAGUCGAGCAGGGACGAAAGUCGGUCUUAGUGAUCUGACGGUACUGAGUGGAAAGGCCGUCACUCAACGGAUAAAAGUUACUCUAGGAUAACUGGCUGAUCUCCCCCAAGAGUUCACAUCGACGGGGAGGUUUGGCACCUCGAUGUCGGCUCAUCGCAUCCUGGGGCGGUAGUACGUCCCAAGGGUUGGGCUGUUCGCCCAUGAAAGCGGUACGCGAGCUGGGUUCAGAACGUCGUGAGACAGUUCGGUCCAUAUCCGGUGUAGGCGUUAGAAUAUUGAGAGGAGCCUUCUUUAGUACGAGAGGACCGAGAAGGACAUACCUCUGGUGUACCAGUUAUCGUGCCAACGGUAAACGCUGGGUAGCUAUGUAUGGAGUGGAUAACCGCUGAAAGCAUCUAAGUGGGAAGCCCACCUCAAGAUAAG